rnacentral:rRNA from 1 species
CGAAAGUUAGAGGUUCGAAGGCGAUCAGAUACCGCCCUAGUUCUAACCAUAAACGAUGCCAGCCAGCGAUCCGCCGAAGUUCCUCCGAUGACUCGGCGGGCAGCUUCCGGGAAACCAAAGCUUUUGGGUUCCGGGGGAAGUAUGGUUGCAAAGCUGAAACUUAAAGGAAUUGACGGAAGGGCACCACCAGGAGUGGAGCCUGCGGCUUAAUUUGACUCAACACGGGAAACCUCACCAGGCCCGGACACCGGAAGGAUUGACAGAUUGAGAGCUCUUUCUUGAUUCGGUGGGUGGUGGUGCAUGGCCGUUCUUAGUUGGUGGAGCGAUUUGUCUGGUUAAUUCCGGUAACGAACGAGACUCUAGCCUGCUAAAUAGACGAUUUCCGGUAUCCACAAUAGUGCUACCGGCGAAAUCAAUAUCUUCUUAGAGGGACAGGCGGCUUUCAGCCGCACGAAACUGAGCAAUAACAGGUCUGUGAUGCCCUUAGAUGUCCUGGGCCGCACGCGCGCUACACUGAAGGAAUCAGCGUGUACACCCUGGCCGAAAGGCUCGGGCAACCCGUUGAACCUCCUUCGUGCUAGGGAUUGGGGCUUGCAAUUGUUCCCCAUGAACGAGGAAUUCCCAGUAAGCGCGAGUCAUAAGCUCGCGUUGAUUACGUCCCUGCCCUUUGUACACACCGCCCGUCGCUACUACCGAUUGAAUGAUUUAGUGAGGUCUUCGGACUGGUGCGCGGCGGCCGCCUCCGCGGCCGCCGAUGCCACCGGGAAGAUGACCGAACUUGAUCAUU